rnacentral:rRNA from 1 species
AAACAUCGCCUCUUGAUAAUCUAUAAGAGGUCCAGCCUGCCCAGUGACUUUGUUCAACGGCCGCGGUAUCCUAACCGUGCGAAGGUAGCGUAAUCACUUGUUCUUUAAAUGAGGACUAGUAUGAAUGGCACCACGAAGGUUAUACUGUCUCCUUUUUCUAAUCAGUGAAACUAAUCUCCCCGUGAAGAAGCGAGGAUAAAAAUAUAAGACGAGAAGACCCUAUGGAGCUUUAAACUAACAUACAACUGCCUUUAAUUUUAACAACUCCAGACGAAUAACUACAAUUCAGGCACUUUGAUAUGAAGUUUUAGGUUGGGGUGACCACGGAGUAAAAAACAACCUCCGCAGUGAACAGGACUUCUCCCAUAACCUAAGGGCUACAACCCUAAGAAUCAACAAAUUGACACUAAUUGACCCAAUAUAUUUGAUCAAUGAACCAAGUUACCCUAGGGAUAACAGCGCAAUCCACUUCAAGAGCCCCUAUCGACAAGUGGGUUUACGACCUCGAUGUUGGAUCAGGGUAUCCUGGUGGUGCAGCCGCUACUAAUGGUUCGUUUGUUCAACGAUUAA